ACAACUUGCAUUAAUUCGAUGAUUGAGAGUUACAACUGAAGAAGCUACAGCUUAUAUAGCUGUGAACUAACGUAACUAACUGUGUAACUAACUAGAAAUGGUAGAUCUAACUAACUAAUAACUAACUAAUCUUCACGCGUGUCAAUUUUUUCCAAGCUGCUCUCAUGUGCACACGUGUUAUUUCAAUUCGCCUUGUGCGUUUAUUCCUUUAUCCUACUAUUACCAUUUCCAUGCAUCAGUGUCGCCGGCGGCUAAUCCCCCGUCUCCGUCCAGUUUUCCCCCUCUCUCGCCCCCUCUAUGCCGGAAUCGUCCUCCUCGACAGGACUUUUCGUUUGUGCUAUCAGUGGACUCUAUGAGGGGCGGGGCUGCUUCCUCUAGUCGGAGCCGCCGAGAAGCUGUCCUCAACGGACCUAUGCCCCUGAGAUAAGUUUCACAACUUGUUUUACAUGUGUUUUACUCUUGACAUGGGUUUUAAGUUCUUGAGCUACUAUUCGGUUGUUUGGUGGAGUUUUGGGGCUCUAAUGUGUUUACUUAUUUCCUCUUGUUGUGAUAUCAUGUGACCAAGUGUUGAGAUGUGGAUAGUUACAUUUUCCUACAUCUUGAGCAUGCUAUGUUGACUAGAGGCCUAGUAUGUUGUGCCUAAGUUUUCUUCCAUGAAUAUGCGUAAUAUGAUCUAUCACUUUGGGAGGAUGUUGGUUACUCACUGAAAUUGAGGCUUGAGGGGUUAUCUGCUAUGAUUGCUUCGGUUUCUGUCUCUGACUCGGCUCCUUCUCCUUCUCCUUAGCUUACUGCCUUGAUAUUGAUUUGUGGUGAGGGAGGAAGAGGCCGGGGGUUAUCUCCCUUCAUAGAGGGGGUGUAACUGAAAGCUGCAAAAGCUUAUUGUUGGCUAGAAAAAGGGUUCCAUAGACUGUGCAGCUGGCUGCCCUCUCUGCAGAGCAUGUACUCUGAGCCCCUGAUUUCUCUCUAACUGAUUUUGGUGGCUUAUGGGGGUGUACUCGUGAGGUUAUAGUGGCUGCCACAGAGCCCCAGUUUCUGGCUGUUCUUUAUGCUGCAAUUUAACUGAUUUUUCUUGUGUGGUUUUGCAGGUACGUGCUGGGGUAGGGCUGUUGGGUUGGGGUGGAGUGUACCUGCCGUAGGGCAGCGUACUGGCUGACUCUCCCUCUUUAAACCAAGCCCUUCUCUUCUCCUUGGAAAGGUAAUGCUAUUGAUUCCCCUUUUAAUGUAGGAUGCUGAUACGAGUGACCCGUCCAACGCCGAGGACAUCGAAGCAGAAGUCGAGAGCGCGGCCUCACCACCUGCACCGCGCACGACGGCAGCAACAGGAAGGAACUUAAGACCGAGGGAUCAGCUCAAGCCGCCGAGAAAGUUCGCUUGUUGAAGUCUUUAUUUCCUUUUGUGUCUUUCUUUUUUAUUUUUUUAUUUUAUUUCCUUAAUUUUUGGUGCUAUGUUUUAGGAUUAAGUUGGGCGAUUUCCAAGCCCCGUUUGGGUUUUCUUCGUUGGUUCUUUCCCAAACGUAUUAGGAUUAGGUCGAACCAACCCUAGGGUUUUAGUAUAAAUAGAGCCUCUGUAUCAUUCGAUCAUCUAUCUAUGAAAUAAAAAUACUUUGGCUCAA